rnacentral:rRNA from 1 species
UGUGGAAUAUUGCACAAUGGGCGAAAGCCUGAUGCAGCGACGCCGCGUGAGGGAUGACGGCCUUCGGGUUGUAAACCUCUUUCAGCAGGGACGAAGCGCAAGUGACGGUACCUGCAGAAGAAGCACCGGCUAACUACGUGCCAGCAGCCGGGGUAAUACGUAGGGUGCAAGCGUUGUCCGGAAUUACUGGGCGUAAAGAGUUCGUAGGCGGUUUGUCGCGUCGUUUGUGAAAACCAGCAGCUCAACUGCUGGCUUGCAGGCGAUACGGGCAGACAUGAGUACUGCAGGGGAGACUGAAAUUCCUGGUGUAGCGGUGAAAUGCGCAGAUAUCAGGAGGAACACCGGUGGCGAAGGCGGGUCUCUGUGCAGUAUCUGACGCUGAGGAACGAAAGCGUGGGUAGCGAACAGG